UACGUAGGGGGCAAGCGUUGUCCGGAAUUAUUGGGCGUAAAGAGCGUGUAGGCGGUUUGGUAGGUCCGCUGUGAAAACUCGAGGCUCAACUUCGAGACGCCGGUGGAAACCAUCAGACUAGAGUCCGGAAGAGGAGAGUGGAAUUCCUGGUGUAGCGGUGAAAUGCGCAGAUAUCAGGAAGAACACCCGUGGCUAAGGCGGCUCUCUAGUACGGUACUGACGCUGAGACGCGAAAGCGUGGGGAGCGAACAGG
rnacentral:rRNA from 1 species